rnacentral:tRNA from 1 species
AAAAAUUUAGUUAAGCUAAAUAACAUCAGUUUGUCAGACUGAAAUCAUUUAUAAAAAAUAAUUUUUU